rfam:Medicago truncatula strain A17 chromosome 3, whole genome shotgun sequence.
GUGGGUACAAAGAAUCUACUUUAUUCAGCACACUAACCUAAUUUCCGAGACAUGUUACAUACCUGAAACAUGUCUUAAAAAUUAGGGUUUUUCUUGAUUUGUGUGCUGAACAAAAUAGAUUCAUUGUACCCA